GUGCCAGCAGCCGCGGUAAGACAGAGGUGCCAAGCGUUAGGCGGAAUCACUGGGCUUAAAGCGUGUGUAGGCGGGUUCCUAAGUACCUUGUGAAAUCCCCCGGCUCAACCGGGGAACGGCUUGGUAUACUGGGUGCCUUGAGCCAGCUAGGGGCGACCGGAACAAGUGGUGGAGCGGUGAAAUGCGUAGAUAUCACUUGGAACGCCAACGGUGAAAACAGGUCGCUGGGGCUGUGCUGACGCUGAGACACGAAAGCCAGGGGAGCGAACGGGAUUAGAUACCCCUGUAGUCC
rnacentral:rRNA from 1 species